rnacentral:rRNA from 1 species
UACGUAGGGGGCAAGCGUUGUCCGGAAUCAUUGGGCGUAAAGAGCGUGUAGGCGGCCCGAUAAGUCGGUUGUGAAAGUCAAGGGCUCAACCCUUGAAUGCCGACCGAUACUGUCGGGCUAGAGUCCGGAAGAGGUGAGUGGAAUUCCUGGUGUAGCGGUGAAAUGCGCAGAUAUCAGGAGGAACACCGGUGGCGAAGGCGGGUCUCUGGGCCGAUACUGACGCUGAGGAGCGAAAGCGUGGGGAGCAAACAGG